GUGCUCGCUUCAGCAGCACAUACACUACAAUUGGAAUGAUACAGAUAUUAGCACGGCCCCUGCGCAAGGAUGACACGCCAAUUUGUGAAGCAUUCCAUAGUUAU